rnacentral:rRNA from 1 species
GACGAACGCUGGCGGCGUGCCUAACACAUGCAAGUCGAACGGAACUGUUUUGAAAGAUUUCUUCGGAAUGAAUUUGAUUUAGUUUAGUGGCGGACGGGUGAGUAACGCGUGAGUAACCUGCCUUCAAGAGGGGAAUAACAUUCUGAAAAGAAUGCUAAUACCGCAUGACAUGUCGGAACCACAUGGUUUUGAUAUCAAAGAUUUUAUCGCUUGAAGAUGGACUCGCGUCCGAUUAGUUAGUUGGUGAGGUAACGGCUCACCAAGACCGCGAUCGGUAGCCGGACUGAGAGGUUGAACGGCCACAUUGGGACUGAGACACGGCCCAGACUCCUACGGGAGACAGCAGUGGGGGAUAUUGCGCAAUGGGGGCAACCCUGACGCAGCAACGCCGCGUGAAGGAUGAAGGUUUUCGGAUUGUAAACUUCUUUUAUUAAGGACGAAAAAUGACGGUACUUAAUGAAUAAGCGCCGGCUAACUACGUG